rnacentral:tRNA from 1 species
UACUCAGUAUUACAGCUGUUAGAGCAUUCCGCUACAUGCGGAAGAGUCCUGGGUUCGAAUCCCAGCUGAGUCACCA